rnacentral:lncRNA from 1 species
GCUCAGCCCAAGGUUCCAUUCCCAACUGUAGAGGGCCUAUUCUGGUAAGGGAGGAAUAGAAGAAGAAGAAAACGCUCUUUCGUGUAGUAAUGGUUAGUGUGCGCGACUAAAGAGUAACAGCUGGUGUCUACCACAGCACCUGUGUACAACACUGGGACAUCAAACCUCGUAUUGAAUUACUGCAGGAACGUCCAGAUUCCAGUGUAAUUUCGACGCAAUCUUGCUAGUAAUCAAAAGAACGGGCGCUUUCAUUAUUAUUAUUGAUUGGUUUUCGCUCCAAAUUUCUUUUUAAGCUUAUGUUACAAACAGCCACGCGCUCCCAAGCAAUCGGAACGAACAAAAGAAAGGGGGCGUUGCGGGGUCGACAAGAUGCAGCGCGUGAACGUCGUCGCCCCUUGCUUGCGCUCCCUCCUUUCCAGGGCGCAAGCUGCAUCGAUAGGGGAGCA